UGCUAUUAAAAUUUAGUUUUUAAUGAAUGAUUUAGGGUUUAAGAUUUUCCAACGGUUUAGAGUUUAUCCAAAGUUUAAGGUUUAACGUUUAGGGUUUAGGGUUUAGUAUUUAGGGUAUAGGUUUUAGUAUUUUGCUGAAGACUUAACAAUAUUAAUUUUUUUUUGUAACUAUUUUAUGUAUUUUUAUUAUUUUAUUUUAAAAAUAUAAUCUAAUUUGGAU
rnacentral:lncRNA from 1 species